rnacentral:miRNA from 1 species
UUGGUUCAGGAAUGGGCGGAACU